rnacentral:ncRNA from 2 species
UAGCAAUAAGGGGAUGGAGUCCCCCGCAUAAUUGUCCAACCGCUUCAAAAGGGCUAAUGACUCCUGUCGCGUG